CCUACGGGUGGCAGCAGUGAGGAAUAUUGGUCAAUGGACGAGAGUCUGAACCAGCCAAGUAGCGUGAAGGAUGACUGCCCUAUGGGUUGUAAACUUCUUUUAUAAAGGAAUAAAACGAGGCACGUGUGCCUUUUUGCAUGUACUUUAUGAAUAAGGAUCGGCUAACUCCGUGCCAGCAGCCGCGGUAAUACGGAGGAUCCGAGCGUUAUCCGGAUUUAUUGGGUUUAAAGGGAGCGUAGAUGGGUUGUUAAGUCAGUUGUGAAAGUUUGCGGCUCAACCGUAAAAUUGCAAUUGAUACUGUCAGUCUAGAGUACAGUUGAGGUAGGCGGAAUUCGUGGUGUAGCGGUGAAAUGCUUAGAUAUCACGAAGAACCCCGAUUGCGAAGGCAGCUUACUAAACUGUGACUGACAUUGAUGCUCGAAAGUGUGGGUAUCAAACAGGAUUAGAUACCCCUGUAGUC
rnacentral:rRNA from 1 species